rnacentral:rRNA from 1 species
CCUACGGGUGGCAGCAGUGAGGAAUAUUGGUCAAUGGGCGCGAGCCUGAACCAGCCAAGUAGCGUGAAGGAUGACUGCCCUACGGGUUGUAAACUUCUUUUAUAAAGGAAUAAAGUGAGGGACGUGUCCCGUUUUGUAUGUACCUUAUGAAUAAGGAUCGGCUAACUCCGUGCCAGCAGCCGCGGUAAUACGGAGGAUCCGAGCGUUAUCCGGAUUUAUUGGGUUUAAAGGGUGCGUAGGCGGCCUUUUAAGUCAGCGGUGAAAGUCUGUGGCUCAACCAUAGAAUUGCCGUUGAAACUGGGAGUCUUGAGUAUGUUUGAGGCAGGCGGAAUGCGUGGUGUAGCGGUGAAAUGCUUAGAUAUCACGCAGAACCCCGAGUGCGAAGGCAGCCUGCCAGGCCAUGACUGACGCUGAUGCACGAAAGCGUGGGAUCAAACAGGAUUAGAUACCCGGGUAGUC